CUACCAGUGACUGUGAGUUAUUUGUAACGGAGAACGUUGAUAAUGUAACGAAGUAUGAAAAUACGGCUCAAUUAUAACACCUUUCUCGAUGCGAACUAUAAAUAGUCGAUAUAAAGGAUGUCGAAUAUAAAGGACUUAGCCAGGUGGUGAAAUUUUAAACGACAGAAUUACCGAUGGAACUAGUCAAUCUCCAUCAGAUUUCAAUUAACAAUGCAGAACUGUGGAGGAGGAGGAGGAGGUAGGAGCGUAACGUCUAUUCCAAUUGAACAAGCAGCAAUCCAUCUUUUUCAAUCAUUUGACCGGCGACUGGAUGCCGCAUCCGCAUUGCUAAUUACCGAUUAACCGGAAUCGGCGUCGAUUAACGGCUGGCAUCAGUAUCCGUCGUCGGCAUCCGAACGAUCGAACGCCGCGUUUCUCGUUGUCUCCCCGAAGGCGAAGGCGGCAAUGAGAAAUCUUUUAAUUAAAGAUCUCGCGAGAUAAGAAUGUAUCCCUUGCCCCCAUCGCGGUAUCCGUCUACCAGGACUCGGAUGGGAAGAACAUUCCUUCAGUGAUCACGGUGGACCAAUCAGGUGGAGGUUACAGCGGCAAAAACCACCGAGAACAAAGCGUUCAAUUAAAUGCUCAUCCUCGACUGGCUCCGGCUACAACUGAGAAAUCAACUUGACGCCGAUCCACGAGAUCAACCAAGCCGCUACAAGAAAUGGGCCAGGCUGUUUCGAGCGUGUUCCACCCGUGAUUUUCUGAAUGUUUCGGAUUGUUCGUGAAAUUGAAUUCUCCGGGAAGCCGCGUGUAUGCUUGCGGUCAGCGUUGUUUGGAGAAUCAUGCUUCAGAAGAGCAGAGAUGUUCGAUCAUGUGCACUACACUUUUACCCUCCAUCCAGUCGACGCAACUUCAUAACGUGACGCAUAAAAUAUCGUCGUUCGUGGAAUCAACAGGUGAAUCGAGGGGACACGGUGUUUGUAGUAAACGGGUUAAACGGCAAUGGAAAAUAGAGUCAACGAGAUGCGGCUGAGAUAACGCGCAGGGAAUGACUGACGUGGCCAGGCGAGAUUACGUCCUGGCUUUAAAAGGACGACGCACCCCAUCCGGUGUGCUGGUACUCGCCUAUCGGUUACGUGACACGGUCACGCUCGUGAACGUCGAAUUUGAAUACAAGCGAGACGCUUCAAUGGACUCUCUCCCUCGCUACCUGAAUUAUCUACGGUUACCUAGCAUCCUUUUAUUGAGUUCGCGUUUAUACCAGCCGUACGAGAUUCCAGCUUGUCUGAACGUUUCUUCUGGUACUGGAGUUUCUUCCAUGGUACUAUCUGUCUGACAAGUGAUUUUAUAACUAUCCGCUGUAGCGAUACAAAACUAAUUGUACGUACAAUUUCUGCUUACUCUAUUGAGAGCAUAUUACGUAUGAUUUUUA